UACAGAGGGGGCAAGCGUUGUUCGGAAUUACUGGGCGUAAAGGGCGCGUAGGCGGCCUUCUAAGUCGAACGUGAAAUCCCCGGGCUCAACCCGGGAACUGCGUCCGAUACUGGAAGGCUUGAAUCCGGGAGAGGGAUGCGGAAUUCCAGGUGUAGCGGUGAAAUGCGUAGAUAUCAGGAGGAACACCGGUGGCGAAGGCGGGUCUCUGGACAAGUUCCUGACACUGAGGCACGAAGGCCAGGGAGCAAACGGG
rnacentral:rRNA from 1 species